UGAGAGUGUUUAUAGAGCUGUGAGUUUAACACUUCAUGACUGAGAGCAGAACAGAACACAAUCUUCAUCAUCACACAAGACACAACAACAACAAUGAACAACAUCAUCAUCCUCAUCUGGACAUUGCUCUGCUGUAUACAAGGCUCCAGCGGACAGAUCACAGUUACUCAAACUCCUGCAGUUCAAACAACUGAACUAGGAAAGACUGUAGUGAUGAGAUGCAGCGCCAGCACUCCUUUAACAGGCUGCAGCCCACCAUGUCUGUCCUGGUACUUACGGAAACCUGGAGAAGCUCCUAAACUCCUCAUUUAUAGAAUAAACAGCCUCCAGUCCGGAACUCCAUCUAGAUUCAGUGGCAGUGGAUCUGACAGUGAUUUCUCUCUGACCAUCAGUGGAGUCCAGACUGAAGAUACAGGAGAUUAUUACUGUCUGAGUUACCACAGUAGCUGGGUGAUCACACAGUGAUAAAGAGUCGU